rnacentral:rRNA from 1 species
ACGCUCGACACCUACGGGAGGCAGCAGUUGGGAAUAUUGGACAAUGGAGGAAACUCUGAUCCAGUGACGCCGCGUGAGGGAAGAAGGUCUUCGGAUUGUAAACUUAUUUUGUCAGGGAAGAAAAAUGACUGUACCUGAAGAAAAAGUACCGGCUAACUACGUGUCAGCAGCCGCGGUAAUCUGAGCGGGCUGGCAAGGC